rnacentral:tRNA from 1 species
AGUGGCGUGGCUCAGUGGAAAGAGCCUGGGCUUAUGAGCCAGAGGUCAUGGGUUUGAAUCCUGGCUCUGCCA